GCCGAAGUGGUGAAUUGGCAGACGCGCCGGACUCAAAAUCCGGUACUGGCGACAGUGUGUGGGUUCAAGUCCCACCUUCGGCACCA
rnacentral:tRNA from 1 species